GAUGAACGCUGGCGGCGUGCUUAACACAUGCCAGUCGAACGGUGAACCCGGAGCUUGCUCUGUGGGAUCAGUGGCGAACGGGUGAGUAACACGUGAGCAACCUGCCCCUGACUCUGGGAUAAGCGCUGGAAACGGCGUCUAAUACUGGAUAUGUGACGUGACCGCAUGGUCUGCGUUUGGAAAGAUUUUUCGGUUGGGGAUGGGCUCGCGGCCUAUCAGCUUGUUGGUGAGGUAAUGGCUCACCAAGGCGUCGACGGGUAGCCGGCCUGAGAGGGUGACCGGCCACACUGGGACUGAGACACGGCCCAGACUCCUACGGGAGGCAGCAGUGGGGAAUAUUGCACAAUGGGCGCAAGCCUGAUGCAGUAACGCCGCGUGAGGGAUGACGGCCUUCGGGUUGUAAACCUCUUUUAGCAGGGAAGAAGCGAAAGUGACGGUACCUGCAGAAAAAGCGCCGGCUAACUACGUG
rnacentral:rRNA from 1 species